GAGUAAUGUCUGGGAAACUGCCUGAUGGAGGGGGAUAACUACUGGAAACGGUAGCUAAUACCGCAUAACGUCGCAAGACCAAAGAGGGGGACCUUCGGGCCUCUUGCCAUCGGAUGUGCCCAGAUGGGAUUAGCUAGUAGGUGGGGUAACGGCUCACCUAGGCGACGAUCCCUAGCUGGUCUGAGAGGAUGACCAGCCACACUGGAACUGAGACACGGUCCAGACUCCUACGGGAGGCAGCAGUGGGGAAUAUUGCACAAUGGGCGCAAGCCUGAUGCAGCCAUGCCGCGUGUAUGAAGAAGGCCUUCGGGUUGUAAAGUACUUUCAGCGGGGAGGAAGGGAGUAAAGUUAAUACCUUUGCUCAUUGACGUUACCCGCAGAAGAAGCACCGGCUAACUCCGUGCCAGCAGCCGCGGUAAUACGGAGGGUGCAAGCGUUAAUCGGAAUUACUGGGCGUAAAGCGCACGCAGGCGGUUUGUUAAGUCAGAUGUGAAAUCCCCGGGCUCAACCUGGGAACUGCAUCUGAUACUGGCAAGCUUGAGUCUCGUAGAGGGGGG
rnacentral:rRNA from 1 species